GAAAAUUGGACUCGGUAGAAAGGACUGAAACUAAAAAGCCAGGAAAAACUUAUUUUCCUACAGCAUCAUUUGGAUUCAAAGGAAGACACAAUGGGCGCUGGAUUGAUGAUAUCAGUUUUUCUGCUGCUAACAGCUGCUGCAAAACCAGUAACUACACAAACAACAACAAUACCUGCAACCACAACCACUGCUGCAACCACAACUGUGGCAACAACGACCACUGCGGCAACAACUACAACUUC